UACAGAGGUCUCGAGCGUUGUUCGGAUUCAUUGGGCGUAACGGGUGCGUAGGUGGCGCUGUAAGUCGGGUGUGAAAUCCUGAGGCUUAACCUCGGAACUGCAUUCGAUACUGCGGCGCUUGAGGACUGGAGAGGAGACUGGAAUUCAUGGUGUAGCAGUGAAAUGCGUAGAGAUCAUGAGGAAGACCAGUGGCGAAGGCGGGUCUCUGGACAGUUCCUGACACUGAGGCACGAAGGCCAGGGGAGCAAACGGG
rnacentral:rRNA from 1 species